rnacentral:lncRNA from 1 species
UGAUGUGGAACCCUAAUCCUUUCUGUACAGAUAUUUAGUGUCAUCAAUUCAUUCCAUAAUGCUUCAGUGGCACUCCAGAAUUUUGAUACGGUUGUACAUUGAUGUUUGGAUGGAGAAGAGUGAACAUUACUCAAAUAGUUUUGUGUGUAUGUGGGAUGGGAGGUAGAUAUUGAAAAAACUGUUUUUUCUUUCACUUUCCUUCUAUCUUCUGACUGAAGAAACAGGCUUUUCUUUGUCAUUACUUCUUGGUGUUUGGGGUUGGAGACGUGGACAGUUACCUAGUUUUUGUUUUUAUUCUUUGCAGUACUGGGGAUUGAACCCAGGGCCUCACAAAUGUUAGGCAAAUGCUACAUCCCCAUCCUGGAUCACCUGUUUUGAAUUUUGCUUUGAAAAACUAAGUUUGUUUGAACAUUUUUAUCUGUUUUAGUGUUAUUAACACUGGUUCAGGGAGCUUUUACUCCGGGACUAGUUUAUUCAGAAUAUUAAUAAGGAGACUUUACUAAAUGAUCUAGUCCAAGGCUCUUUCUACUCUUACCAUUCAAAAUUGAAUUUCUCCCAAUGUGUAGGUGCUCUGGAAUCUUUGACCUUAUUCUCCAGUGGUUUUCUUCCCUCUGGUAGUUAUUCUUUGUUGCCCAGUGUCAUGGAAUUUUGUCCUACAACAUGUCAGCAUUCAGCUAAAGUAUUCAGGGGAUUGCUGUGCAGAUUUGUAGUUCUUUCACUCUAUGAUUUCUUCCUCUUUGGUUUUCUAUCCUAAAAAUUCUUGUGACCUCAAUCUCCUUUAAAACACUGAUUAUUGUUUCCUUUGUUUAUCAAAACUGCUAUCUUUUGCUUGGAUUCUUCCUGUCUGCUGUUUUCAGGAGAACUCCUCCUGUUUUAUCUCUGAGAUUGUCCUCAGGUGGUGCUGCUUGUAUUCCAGUCCGCAACAAAAACGAUUUCGACUAUUAGUUCAGUUUCUUCAUUAUUUGUGGCUGGAACUCUGUUUCCAUUUAUUAUUCUUGCUUGGUCUUCAUCAGUUUUAUUUCUGUACAAAAUCACUCUUGCUUGUUCACUUUGUCUCAUUUGUUUUCCAAUUGAUUUCUGCUAUUUUAUUUCCCCAAAAUUGAUAAUCAUUUGGCUUUUGUUUGCUUCUUUCUAAUUUCUUAAAGUGAACAAAUUAUUGAUUUUUAUUCUUUAAUAAUGGAAUUAUAGCUAUUUAAUGCUAAAUUUCCCUUUCAGCACUACUUAAGUGUCAGUUUAUGUUUUAUUUAAUGUUUUUAUUAUCAUUCAGUCAAAUAUACUUAAUGUUUCUUUUUUAUUUUUGUUUCCUUUUUAAUCUAUAUACACAUGAAGCUUUAUUAUGGGAAGAAACCUAAUAACUGACAGAUGUCAACUUUUAGUUUCAAGUUAAGUUAUAUGUAAUUUGAGGAAUCAUCAUUUUAGCCUGAGAACAUCAAGAAAUAUGUUGCUCUUUGUCAUCUUCUUUGAACUCUAUGCAUCCAUUAUGUUUUAAGCACACAAUUAUGAUGACAUUUUAAAUUCUUGGAGCCAGUAGUAACUAUGCUGACAGAUUCUUUAAAGAUCAUUACCUGAUUUCAGGAACCCCAAUUGGCUAGAUGAGGCUUGGGUAUUUUCAGAUUAUUUUCAGAUUUAAAGCAAGUCCUAAGGGAAAAUAAACACAUUGCCUAUGGAGUUAUGGCAUGCUGUCAGAUCCUGGAUUCAUUCAUCCCCUAAAUCCUUUAGCAAAUUUGUUUGUUUUUUGUUUUCAAUAUAAAAAAUAAAUCUUCAUAUGUUUAAUUUUUAAAAAUUUGAAUUACUAGAGAUAUUUU